rnacentral:rRNA from 1 species
AAAAUAGAUACCCCAGGUAGUCCACGCCGUAAACGAUGAGUGCUAAGUGUUAGAGGGUUUCCGCCCGUUUAGUGCUGCAGCUAACGCAUUAAGCACUCCGCCUGGGGAGUACGGCCGCAAGGCUGAAACUCAAAGGAAUUGACGGGGGCCCGCACAAGCGGUGGAGCAUGUGGUUUAAUUCGAAGCAACGCGAAGAACCUUACCAGGUCUUGACAUCCUCUGCCAACCCUAGAGAUAGGGCGUUCCCCUUCGGGGGACAGAGUGACAGGUGGUGCAUGGUUGUCGUCAGCUCGUGUCGUGAGAUGUUGGGUUAAGUCCCGCAACGAGCGCAACCCUUGAUCUUAGUUGCCAGCAUUCAGUUGGGCACUCUAAGGUGACUGCCGGUGACAAACCGGAGGAAGGUGGGGAUGACGUCAAAUCAUCAUGCCCCUUAUGACCUGGGCUACACACGUGCUACAAUGGAUGGUACAAAGAGCUGCGAACCGUGAGGGUAAGCGAAUCUCAAUAAAGCCAUUCUCAGUUCGGAUUGU